rnacentral:rRNA from 1 species
UACAGAGGCCUCGAGCGUUAAUCGGAGUCACUGGGCUUAAAGGGUGCGUAGGCGGGCUCGCAAGUGCUUUGUGAAAUCCCACGGCUCAACCGUGGAAUUGCUCGGCAGACUGCGAGUCUUGAGGUCGGUAGAGGUCGCUGGAACUCUAGGUGGAGCGGUGAAAUGCGUAGAUAUCUAGAGGAACGCCGAUGGUGAAGACAGGCGACUGGGCCGAUUCUGACGCUGAGGCACGAAAGCGUGGGGAGCAAACGGG